ACGUAGGGGGCAAGCGUUAUCCGGAAUUAUUGGGCGUAAAGAGCGCGUAGGUGGUCUUUUAAGCGUGAGGUGAAAGGCAAUAGUUUAACUAUUGUAAGCCUUGCGAACUGGCUGGCUUGAGUGCAGGAGAGGAAAGUGGAAUUCCUCGUGUAGCGGUGAAAUGCGUAGAUAUUAGGAGGAACACCAGUGGCGAAGGCGACUUACUGGACUGUAACUGACGCUGAGGCACGAAAGUGUGGGGAGCAAACAU
rnacentral:rRNA from 1 species